rnacentral:rRNA from 1 species
ACUCGAGUGGCGAACGGGUGAGUAACACGUGGGUGAUCUGCCCUGCACUUCGGGAUAAGCUUGGGAAACUGGGUCUAAUACCGGAUAGGAGCCAUCUUUAGUGUGGUGGUUGGAAAGUUUUUUCGGUGUAGGAUGAGCUCGCGGCCUAUCAGCUUGUUGGUGGGGUAAUGGCCUACCAAGGCGGCGACGGGUAGCCGGCCUGAGAGGGUGUACGGCCACAUUGGGACUGAGAUACGGCCCAGACUCCUACGGGAGGCAGCAGUGGGGAAUAUUGCACAAUGGGCGCAAGCCUGAUGCAGCGACGCCGCGUGGGGGAUGAAGGCCUUCGGGUUGUAAACUCCUUUCGCUAGGGACGAAGCUUUGUUGUGACGGUACCUAGAUAAGAAGCACCGGCUAACUACGUGCCAGCAGCCGCGGUAAUACGUAGGGUGCGAGCGUUGUCCGGAAUUACUGGGCGUAAAGGGCUCGUAGGUGGUUUGUCGCGUCGUCUGUGAAAUUCUGGGGCUUAACUCCGGGCGUGCAGGCGAUACGGGCAUAACUUGAGUGCUGUAGGGGUAACUGGAAUUCCUGGUGUAGCGGUGAAAUGCGCAGAUAUCAGGAGGAACACCGAUGGCGAAGGCAGGUUACUGGGCAGUUACUGACGCUGAGGAG